AAACUGCCCUUCAGACAUCAGAAGUAAGAAGCAACAUUCACGUGGAUAUUGCUGUCGCCAAUCAGGUUUGUUUGUUUGUUUGUUUUAUAGUAUUCACUGACUCCAUCUGCUGGAUUUCUGUCUUUGUUAUAAAAAUCAUCUCCCUAUUCCAGGCACUGUGACUUCCUGGAUAGUGAUAUUUAUUUUGCCAAUAAACAGUGCCUUGAACCCAAUUCUCUAUACUCUCACCACCACUUUCUUUAAGGAGAAGUUAAAGCAGUUACUGCAGAAACAUCAAAGGAGAAUGUGCCACUGUAAGGAAGACACUGAGAACAGAGAGCAAAGUUGAGCCCUUCGCAUCUUCUCCCAACAAGAGAAAAGAAACUCCCACAAGACUGCUUGAGUCUGGAACAGGACCAUGAAGCCAGAUCUUCACUGAAGGAGCUAAAGCUUAUAUGGGAAUGCCAGAUGUGUAAAAAGACAAAGAUGUAAUUUGUUUUUUCAACAGAAAAUAAUAAUACCCCACAAAAAAUAGUGUUUGUAUAUAUAUAAAAAUAAGACUGAGACUUCCAGGAGCUACUGGGGGAAGGGUGGCUGCCUAGCUUUACAGCUUCCUUCUCCACUUCCUGAAAUCCACAACCAUCAACAACUGAGUCUUUUUUCCAUCUGAUAUUCACCACAUAGUAUUCUACAAGUCUUUUCUUUAAUGCCAUUAAGGAUGCUGCUCCAUCUCCAGACUUUCUAAAAAACCCUAAAAAGCAGAAGCUGCCAGACAGAUCCCUUAUAGCCAGAAAGGCUGACCAGGAAGAGGCUGCCCCUCUGAGACUAGAUGAAAUUAUGGACUGGCUGAAACAAAUCUCAGGUGAGCAGACAUUCUUGGGAAAAAUAUCUGAAGAUAUAACUGAGAUCAAAACUAUUACCAGGACACAUCAAGGCUUGGUUGGCAAGGCUUGGUUGGCAUCAAGACCAGAGGAAGCUGAGAACAGUGUCUCCUUACUAGAAGACACAGUGAGUACUAUAAAUAUAACCUGAGAGCAACAGGAAAGGACUAUUAAAGCACUGCAGGAGAAGGCUAAUGAUCUUGAGGGAAGAUCAA